CAGUCGCCGCGGGAAUACGUAGGUGGCGAGCGUUGUCCGGAAUUAUUGGGCGUAAAGGGAGCGCAGGCGGGCGAGUAAGUCUCUCUUAAAAGUGCGGGGCUCAACCCCGUGAGGGGAGAGAAACUACUCAUCUUGAGUGCAGGAGAGGAAAGCGGAAUUCCUAGUGUAGCGGUGAAAUGCGUAGAUAUUAGGAAGAACACCAGUGGCGAAGGCGGCUUUCUGGACUGUAACUGACGCUGAGGCUCGAAAGCCAGGGGAGCAAACAGGAUUAGAUACCCCUGUAGUCCCUGUCUCUUAUACA
rnacentral:rRNA from 1 species